GACGAACGCUGGCGGCGUGCUUAACACAUGCAAGUCGAACGGAAAGGCCCUGCUUUUGUGGGGUGCUCGAGUGGCGAACGGGUGAGUAACACGUGAGUAACCUGCCCUUGACUUUGGGAUAACUUCAGGAAACUGGGGCUAAUACCGGAUAGGAGCUCCUGCUGCAUGGUGGGGGUUGGAAAGUUUCGGCGGUUGGGGAUGGACUCGCGGCUUAUCAGCUUGUUGGUGGGGUAGUGGCUUACCAAGGCUUUGACGGGUAGCCGGCCUGAGAGGGUGACCGGGGACAUAGGGACGGAGAGAGGGAGCAGAGGCGUACGCGAGGGAGAAGUGGGGAGUAUAGUGCAAAGGGCGCGAGAGUGAUGUAGAGACGCUGCGUGCGCGAGAAGGGGGUUUGGGGGGUAAAAAUCUUUCUCAUGUGCCGAAGAGCGAGUGACGGGAAUGGGGAAAAAAGCAAAGGCUAACUACGUG
rnacentral:rRNA from 1 species